AUAGAUUGGAAUGUAGAAAGAGCACUGGAGAGAGAAAGACAGAACAGGAUUUUUGAAAGAGAAGGAUAUGGUGGCAAUAAAAAGAAACGGGAUAACCUAGUCAGUUGCACAACUGAACACAUUCAACCUAAAAUGGUCUUUUGGGUCAUUCUACGAAAAUGGUGGCUUUCCUGUCCCAGGCCCAACACUUAAAAGUGUGAGAUAAUGACACCAAAAAUAUACAUUUUUUGUUUAAAUUGAAGUGUUUUAUUAUUAAUAAAACAUAUGUAAGACAGUUAUAUUGCAAAACAUUUGUAAAAUAUAUUUUUAUCCCUCUUUAAAUGUCAUAAUACAAAGGAAAGUAUUGUAGCGACCCGCACAGACAGUUGUGGGUUAUGUGUUAGGCUAUUAGUGGGUUGUGUCGUACUUACCAGUGUUCGCGGGGUCAUGCCAAUCAACCUGCUAUCUGCCAAUCACGGGAAUGCCUGGAAUGUUCGGAUACCGGGCAGCCUGGUGGUUGGUGGAGUGGCGUGAAGGGGGGUUGGGCAGGGGGAUGGAGCGUUGGAAGUUAAGACCGGGUUUAGCCAUUGUUCUCUCUCUUACGUCCGGGCUUCACAAGAGAAGGUCACGGUUAGUUUGUAGUGUACCUUUCAUUUAUUUGGCGUGGGCUACGGCCAAACAGUAGCCUGUGUUAAGUUGUGUUAAUAAACCGUCCAUUCGUUAACUCCAUCCUCUGUCUGGACAAUUGUUCCUUCACGAUCUAGUCAGGUCAUUACAGUAUGUUAUUUAGUGGACUACUUAAAAAACAAAAAUAUCAAAUAAAUAUUACAAAUAAUUUACAAGUAAUAGCUGACCCUUAAUUUCAUGUCACUGGUGUUAAAAUGUAUAAAAAACACCACUUUGAAAAAAUGCAACAUCCUUGCCAAGUUCUUCCUGGGUCACGUGUUCAUUGGAGAUGGGACUGUUUUGAAAAGCACAUGACAACGAAUCCAAGGGUGGAGAUUGCGCAGGAGAGAAGCACAGAUAGGCAGAAGAAAACGUCAGGUGUUGCAAGAGAAGAUGGAGAAGUACAAAAGACUACACCACAGAUACAAAAACAUCACCGUUUGCAGGCUAAAAAUCAAGACCUUGACAGUCCAAAAACGAAGACGAGAAGCACUCUACAAGGCUGCCCGGCCUCUCCAUCAAUUAGAACAACUCUAAACUUCCACUAUGGUCUCUUGGGGGGGGGGAUCUAAGAGCAAAGUACAAAGCAGCCAAAGCCAAACAGGGGUUUGUAAAUAUACUGUCAGGAAAGCUGAUAAAGAAAUAUACAUUCAAAAAGUUAUGUGAGCAGAGCAUUGGUUUUUCAUACAAAGCCUGGAAGCCAUGAAACAGAGCUCGACAAACAAGCUUGUCUGAAAUAUACAAGAGAGCUGUACGACAGUUCUACCUAAGACAUGAUGUCAGCAGGCAAAACAUUUUAGUCAAUACACUUCAUCUUUUGGUCUUAAUCUUUGACCAACAACCGUCAUUUCAUUGUUCAUAUUAAAUCACCCCAUUUUAUGAAAUCUGAAAUGAUUUGUAAUUAAAAAUAUUACUAAUAAAUGUAUAAAAUGUGUUUAAUUAAUCUUAUGUUUGUCAUUGGUUUCACAUUGUGUCACUGGUGUUACAUUGCGUCAAUGGUAUUACUGUAUGGCAAAUUGGUGUUGCCCAAUUUAAUUGAAUAUGGUUUUUGUAUCUAUAGUACCUAACUGUUGCUAGAUUCAUUAAUAAACAUUUUAAGAAUA